AACCUGCCCUCGCUUCAUUUUCAGAGGGUAGUUCAAGUCCAGACUUCGCUUUAAGUUACUAGCCAGGUGUAAUCUUAGAAAAGUCUUACAGCAAGAAGGAUACUAAAAUAAAUUAUAUUCCUCACUUCCCCAGCUAGUCUCAAAGCUGUAAUUGGUAUUCAUUAUCUUCCUCUUCUUUUCUCUCCUUCCCAGUUCCCCCUGGCACUAUCGCUGAUUUGAGCUACUUGUAUGGUAGAGCUGUCUGCCAUGUUGUGACCCACCUUCUGGAGAGGACUACAUGACAAGGCACUGAAGAAGGCCUCUGGACGACAGCCAAUGAGAAACUGAGAACCUCCAUCCAACAAUCAGCAAGGAACUAAAUUCUACCAAAAGUCAUUUGAACGAGCUUAGAAGUGGAUCCUUGCUCCCAUUUGAACCUUGAGACUGCUGUAGCCUCUGCUGACACCUUCAGUCUUGUGAAAGAGACCAGAGCCAGAGAACCCAGCUAACACUUCCAGAUUCCUGACUGACUAAACUGUGAGGACGUCCAGCCAGCUCAAAACACAGUCUUUGGACACAAUAUCAACAUGAAGACUUUGAAGGGACUCCAUGGAAUUGUGAUAGCUGCACUUUUUUAAACCAUCCAGCACUAAAUCACUGUGAGGAGUGUGAGAUGCCAAAAUCUGCUUGAAAUUCAGAAGAAUCUGCACCAUAUGGAGAGUAAAAUUUUGAGCUCUGAGACCUUGAGAAUCCUUUGUCCAGCCCAGCCUUUUCAUUUCAGAUUAUAUGGGAGAAGGAGUGAUACGGUAUUCUUUUGUGGUUUCUCAAGGAAAAAUUGGGGGUUUGUUUCCUUUAAGAGUGAAAGGUAAAAAAAGAUAUUUGGAACUGGGAAAGGAUUCAUUUCUGAAAGAUGGGUACAUAGAAAUCAGCACUUUUUUUGUGGAAUCCCUAUUGCUAAAGUUACUGCUGUAUAGCCUUUAUUUUUAAACUAGUACUUUGAAUUGUGAUAUGAAAUUUUACAGUUUCUUCAGAAAAACUGAAAUGCCACAUCAGACUCACUUGGUCACAGCUCUCUGGAAAACAAAGGCUCCUUAUGCUUCUUUACAUUGCUUCAUGCUGAAAAGGUAGAUAGGAAAAAAAGCACCCAGCAUAGUUUUGUUAAUUUGUUUGUUUUAUGCACAGUAAUAAGGGUGUUUAAUUUUUGCUUUUAUCAGAGGCAGUUUCAAAUACACCUGUACAAAAAGAGGACAUUUUACUUUGUAGCAGUAGUGUAUUAGGCAUAUUUUCUAAAUAUUCCCUUUGUUCUAAAUUACAGCCAGAGAUGAUAAGAUCUCUUUUGCAUGUAUAAUGACCAUCAGGUUGUAUUAACACUGGUAACUAACUCCUAAUUAUGCCUCAUAAUCUUUAAUGUUAUUUUAAGUUGCGUGUUUUUAUUGGACUGUUUGCUUUCAAACAUAAAAACAAGUCCCUAACAAGGC
rnacentral:lncRNA from 1 species